CUGAAGAAACCUCGCAGAUCAGGAUUCUCGUCCAAUUUCGAAGAUAUAUAAAAGGAUCAUUCAUGGUAGCAAGAUCCCUUACAUGAUUAGUCUGAUCGAGUGGUUGAAAUCCAGAGAGGCUGCUAGCUGACAUGUAUGUGUACUAUGUAAUGUUACUUGGAGCAAUUUAUUUUUGUAGACAAAUGGUUUUAUAUUUAUAUCAUCAAAUUGUAUGUUUAUGUGUGAUA